UCCAAAACAACGUGGGCUUCAUAAAUAAUUGGAGCAAUUUUGAGGGCAAGGCUGGCCUGUUAUGGCGGGACAGUAUCCAUCCCACUCUGGAAGGUGCAGAUCUGGAGGAGUCUUGGAUAUAGAGUGUUUGGUGAAAUGGGAUAUUUGAAUGCUGUUGUCCCAUCACUCUCACACGUUCACUCAGUCGAGUUAAACAUGCUCCUGAGGCUGAGUGACCACUGUUCCUGCCCUUCUCCCCUCCGUG